GGAAUUUUAUUUUAAUAAAGAAUACUAGAUUGUAAGUCUAGAGGUUAAAUUCUA
rnacentral:tRNA from 1 species